UCCCGUGUGGCUCAGUUGGUAGAGCAUGGUGUUUGCAACACCAGGGUUGAGGGUUCGAUUCCCACAGGGGAC
rfam:Salmo salar isolate Sally breed double haploid chromosome ssa02, whole genome shotgun sequence.